GAUGGAAGGCUGUGUUGGCGAAAGUGCCAAGUGUUUGAUAUGACUCAGAGUCAGAAAUAUUGACUUUGUGGUGUUGAAAAAGUGGCCUUAAAUAAGUCAUUUUCUCUUACUAACCCUUAUUUCCCUAGGUGUCAUGACUUCAUUGUAAUUUACACAUACCUGAUGCAUUGUAGACUUCCUUUUCUAUCCUAUUAGUUAGGUUUGGAGGGAAAAUGUUUUGUACUUUGGCAUGCUUUAGUGAAAUUUUAUGACCUUUUCUGCCCUCUCAUUCCCUUCUUCAAAGAGAAACAAUUAGCAUAAUUUAACAUCAUGCUUGUUCAGGCAAUGAUGUUUAAUGCAGGUUAACAAACAGAAAAGGGAAUCUCUGUCUCCCACAGAUUAAGGAAUUUUUACAACACAAUUCUGUGAGUUUGCCAACCUGUUCAAUAGACCAGGACAGUGUCUUUGCUCUGCCUUCAAAGCUGUCUUGU
rnacentral:lncRNA from 1 species